CUCAGUAACGGCGAGUGAAGCGGUAACAGCUCAAAUUUGAAAUCUGGCCUCACGGUCCGAGUUGUAAUUUGUAGAGGAUGCUUCGAGCAUGGUCUGGCCUAAGUUCCUUGGAACAGGACGUCAUAGAGGGUGAGAAUCCCGUAUGCGGCCAGGUGCCUACGCUCAUGUGAAGCUCCUUCGACGAGUCGAGUUGUUUGGGAAUGCAGCUCAAAAUGGGUGGUAAAUUUCAUCUAAAGCUAAAUAUUGGCCAGAGACCGAUAGCGCACAAGUAGAGUGAUCGAAAGAUGAAAAGCACUUUGGAAAGAGAGUUAAACAGUACGUGAAAUUGUUGAAAGGGAAGCGCUUGCAACCAGACUUGCGCGCGGCUGAUCAUCCGGUGUUCUCACCGGUGCACUCGGCCGUGCUCAGGCCAGCAUCGGUUUUGGCGGCUGGAUAAAGGCCCUAGGAAUGUGGCUCCUCUCGGGGAGUGUUAUAGCCUAGGGUGCAAUGCAGCCUGCUGGGACCGAGGACCGCGCUUCGGCUAGGAUGCUGGCGUAAUGGUUGUAAGCGGCCCGUCUUGAAACACGGACCAAGGAGUCUAACAUCUAUGCGAGUGUUUGGGUGUCAAACCCAUACGCGUAAUGAAAGUGAACGGAGGUGAGAACCCUUAAGGGUGCAUCAUCGACCGAUCCUGAUGUCUUCGGAAGGAUUUGAGUAAGAGCAUAGCUGUUGGGACCCGAAAGAUGGUGAACUAUGCCUG
rnacentral:rRNA from 1 species